AAGUUCCCAAUGUUGAAGCAUUCUCUUGCCACAUCGAUGAAAAACUCCACCAUUCUUGUACGCUGCUUUUUCUUCACAACCUGAAACAGAGAUGAUCUGUUAAGAGGGAAGGAAUGGCCUGAAGUUUGGAU